AUUGAACGCUGGCGGCAUGCCUUACACAUGCAAGUCGAACGGCAGCGCGGGAGCAAUCCUGGCGGCGAGUGGCGAACGGGUGAGUAAUACAUCGGAACGUGCCCAAUCGUGGGGGAUAACGCAGCGAAAGCUGUGCUAAUACCGCAUACGAUCUACGGAUGAAAGCAGGGGAUCGCAAGACCUUGCGCGAAUGGAGCGGCCGAUGGCAGAUUAGGUAGUUGGUGGGGUAAAGGCUCACCAAGCCAACGAUCUGUAGCUGGUCUGAGAGGACGACCAGCCACACUGGGACUGAGACACGGCCCAGACCCCUACGGGAGGCAGCAGUGGGGAAUUUUGGACAAUGGGCGCAAGCCUGAUCCAGCCAUGCCGCGUGCAGGAUGAAGGCCUUCGGGUUGUAAACUGCUUUUGUACGGAACGAAAAGUCUCUUUCUAAUAAAGGGGGAUCAUGACGGUACCGUAAGAAUAAGCACCGGCUAACUACGUGCCAGCCGCCGCCGUAA
rnacentral:rRNA from 1 species